rnacentral:lncRNA from 1 species
AAAAUAUUAUCAAAGUUUAAGAGAAAUGACCCAAUAAGGUUCUAUUUAUAAGCUAGAUUAACUUAUUACAAAAAGACCACAAGGCCCUUAAUGAGCCCUUACAAAGGGGCGACCUUGGAGUGUGCUUCUUGGACGAUUUUGGAGUGUAGGAGGCUUCCUUCACACUUCAAGACUUGUUCUCUUGGACGGGCAGCCCCACAAGCUCGGGUCUUCACGUCUUGGCUUUCAUUACGUCCUCGAGUGCUAAGAUGCCUCUUUGACCCGUAUCACAAAUUGGGCAUAAAAUUCAUUUCAAAUAGCUUAAAUAUUUUUUAUUUGACUUAAAUUUUCAAUUACUAGUUAACAAAUACAAAUUCAAUGAACCCCAAACUCUGUCAUGAAGGCAAUCUCUCAUGGCUGAAACACAUUGUCACUAUAACCAGACAAACUACACAAACUCUGAAAUUCUUCAUCCCACUCAACCAAAACAACACCAUUUGGUCCAUUUUUCACUAAUUCUUCUCUAAUACAGUUCUUCUUACUGUUUUCCUAAAUGAACUCAAUGCUAUUUUUGGUGGCCCUUUCCACCUAAUCUCCACUGCAACACCACCACCAGAAGCUACCACCUCAUUCACCAAAUUUUUAAGUUUGCCUACU